rnacentral:rRNA from 1 species
AUUGAACGCUGGCGGCAUGCCUUACACAUGCAAGUCGAACGGCAGCACGGGAGCUUGCUCCUGGUGGCGAGUGGCGAACGGGUGAGUAAUACAUCGGAACGUACCCAGGAGUGGGGGAUAACGUAGCGAAAGUUACGCUAAUACCGCAUAUUCUGUGAGCAGGAGAGCGGGGGAUCGCAAGACCUCGCGCUCUUGGAGCGGCCGAUGUCGGAUUAGCUAGUUGGUGAGGUAAAAGCUCACCAAGGCGACGAUCCGUAGCAGGUCUGAGAGGAUGAUCUGCCACACUGGGACUGAGACACGGCCCAGACUCCUACGGGAGGCAGCAGUGGGGAAUUUUGGACAAUGGGGGCAACCCUGAUCCAGCCAUGCCGCGUGAGUGAAGAAGGCCUUCGGGUUGUAAGGCUCUUUCGGCGGGGAAGAAAUGGCAACGGCUAAUAUCCGUUGUUGAUGACGGUACCCGCAUAAGAAGCACCGGCUAACUACGUGCCAGCCGCCGCCGUAAGAC